CCCAGCUGUAGGCAGCUGCCUAGGUUGCCUUGUACCCAGACAAGUGUGACACUGCUGGGAGAACAGCAGCCAGUAGCUGGUUGGCCUUGCUCAUGCCAACUCUGUUGUUUAAAUAUACCAGGUGCCAGCACAGAUAAA
rnacentral:snoRNA from 1 species